AGUCCCGUGACAGUAAAGCAGAGCUCCUGCAGCAGCACCUUCUUUUAAAAAGACUUCCCACCAGCUCACACAACCCUGCAGCGAGAACUGAGAAUUUGAGGUUUACGUAGCUGCAGAACAGAGAAAGAUUACACGUUGUACCCGAGCUGCAGUCGCUUAGAGGUCUUGACCAGCAUGGGUAGAUGGAAACUGUGGUUAGUUCUGCUUCUGCCGCUAACUUUCCAAACCAACAGCCAAGAUACUAAACAGCUACUUGUGAAAACAAUUGGGAGCAAACCAGACAUCACUCCAAUAUGCACCGAUGAAACACAGAAUCCCAUCGUGUUUAUAGUUUGUAAGAUCAGAACAGUGAGAAGCGUAGAAGAAUGCCAUCUGCUGUAUCGAGAACAAAACUUUGUGAAUGAAUGUGACUCCAGAUUCAGACUUUUGAAAGAGAAUCAGACUGUAUUCCUCCACCUGACCAGUUUAAAAUCAGUGGAUAGUGGGAACUACAUCUGCGAUUGUUCACGUUCUUUUGGAACAUCUAUGCUCCAAAUGCAUGUCACUGUGGAAGAGGAUGAGGAUAACAGCAGCUCGACACGAGAGCCAAUUCUGAGUGUUUUCGUUGGUGUAACUGCAGUCGUCACUAUAGCUGCAGUUAUUCUAGGAUGUAUCCACAUGACAAAGAGUAAUGGAGACUGUUCGAGGACAGCCUCGUCUGCUUUGUAUGUGCGUGAGACUCAUGGCUCAGUGGCAGAAGAUCACCCCUACACCAGCCUUCAGCAUCCAGCAAGUGAUCUUCACCAAACUGACUCAUAUUCAGCCAGCAAUAAAGUGACUGUGGGAUUUGAUACCCAGUAAGAAGAAGAAGGUGGAGGAGAGUCUGAUAAAAGUUGAACAAUGUGUGAAAACAUUUAAACCAAAGAAUCAAGACAACAUGACUUUGUGAUACGUGGAUGUUCCUCACUUAGUGAGAUAGUAGAUAGUAGUUUAAGGGCUUUUGUGAUAGAGAAUGUUUCCCAAAAUAUUGAAAUUGGAGUAUUUUUAUUAAAACAGGUCCACAUAUGAACAAAUGCUUUUUUUUCAUAAUUAUAUGUGUAAUCUGUCGGAUUUCAUUGGUAUUUUUCCUGAAUCAAGAGUGUGAAGCCUCAGCAGCUCUAAGUUGUUGCUGGAUGAGGCCGGCUUGUUAAUAAAUGCUCUGUAAAAAACUAUCACUGCUGUCGACAAGUCAAGAAAUCCAAUAAAGUAUUUUAAAAGUAAUGCCUCUUUUGGAAACAUUAGCAUUUUUUCAGCAGUCACACCUUGUUUAGAGUCAUGUACGAUCAUUCCCAUGUCUUCGUCAUUUAGAAUCGUCAUCACUAUCAUCAGUGUAGAGGGCGCUACAACAGGUUUUUUUUACAAUAGAUGGUCACAGUACAGUUUGUUUCUUUAUUUGUACAAAUCAAGUGAGGUGUGUUUGUGUGAAGAUGACACACUGCGAACAAUGUGAAUACCAGACUGGUGUCCUUAUGAAAGACACUAUGUAGUUAUUAUAAUGUCACAGAAGUCACUUUAAUCUUCACACCCUGAACGUUUUCUUUCUCUUCAGUCAUUUGCUUACUGUCUGACCUUUUUGAGUGUCCUAAUAUAAAACAGAAGUUGCCAUAGCAGCACUUCCUUUACAGAGGAGUUCAAACCUGCUCGUACCUUUGUGACAGUUUGAGGUUAAUAGUCAGAGAACAGAACAACAGGGUCUGUCUGUGCUGACUUCAUUACAUGAUCUUGUUCACCAGCAGCAGCAGCAGAUGCUUCUUGACAAGUAUGGCGAAAUGGAAACUCUGCUUUUUACUGACACUAACUCUGUGUUUUGGCAUUAAAGACAGUGAAGGUAACGUAGAUGAGCUAGUUUUCAAUAUGUAACAUGUUGGCAAGUUAUAUAUUUUUAUUGUCUUUGGUUUUAAAGAGGUCAAAACACAGUUUCUGUAAUUUUAUAGCAAUUAAAAAUGUGAUUUAAUACUCACAAAAUGCAAGAAUACAGCAGUAGAUCAGACUCGGACUAAUUCAUGUUUGAUUGUGACUGAUUGCAGUGAGUCUUGUGAAAACCAUUGGGAGCGAACCAGUCGUCACUGAAAUAUGCACCAAUUCAACAGUUGAUAUCAUCACACUUGUAGUGUGUAAGAUCAGAACAGAGAGAAACAUGUCAACAGAGUGUCGUCUGCUGUAUCAACAUGGAAAGGGCUUUCAGCAUCAAUGUGACUCCAGAUACAAACUUAUCCAGGAGAAUCAGACUGUGUUUCUCCAGCUGACCAGUUUAACACCAGUGGAUAGUGGGAACUACAGCUGUGAGUGUUCAACACCUGAUGGAACAAUUGUUCUGCAUCUGAAUGUCACUGUGGAGGGUAAACACACUUUUUAUGUAUUUUUAUUUUGGCUGAUGAGUAAGGUGAUUAUUUUCUGCCAUGCUCCAACUGCAUUGUGUUAUUAUGUGUACUUUACAGUCUUUUAAAGAGUCAUUGAUUAAACAGUGUUUUUGUCUCGUAGAUGAUUUUUUUACAUUUGAUUUGCAUAUUCAGGCAGUACAGUAUUGCAUGUUACUAUGACAGUAGACUGUUUUCUUCACAAAUAGAGUAAAAACCAGAUUUCUACCAGAAUUAUAUUAAUGUUUUAGAGGCUGCAGACACCAGCGGUUCCACACAAAUGCCAAUUCCAUGGGUCUGGAUCGGUGUCUCUACUGGACUCAUUAUAACUGGAGUUAUUCUGGGAUUUGUCUUCAGGACAAAAAGUGACAGGUGAGAAACUCAUAUUUUCACUGAAAUAGCAGAUUUUAUUUUUAAUGUAUUUUUUCAAUGUUAAUGUGGUGCAUUUACAGUAAAUUGCACUCUGUAGAUUCCUGCAUUACACUGUUUUGCUCUUUUUAAUGAAAGUUAUUAUUAAAAUGUAAACAUAAUUAAACCUAUUAUAAUGUUUCUGCUCGUACUUGAUGCUGUUCUAACUCUGAUAUCUCUUCUUAUUUAAAGAAACUCUUCAAUGUCAGCCACACCUGGACAAUCUCUACCUGAGUCUUCCAGCUCUUCUGUGAGUAUUUUUAUUUCCUCUAACUUUAAAGUAGGCAGUUUCAUGUUCAUUAUCUAAUAUACAUAAAUAUACAUUUAUAUUUUGGGUCUGUAGCUCGUGAUCUAAUCUCGUCCUAUGUUCUCAAAAACAUUUCUUAUUUCUCUAUUGUAAUGUUUAGUCCAACCUCAGUGAUCCUCUUGUUUGAACUGUGUGGAGACAUGCAGUCUACAUCUUUACAUGGCGAACGUGUUUUCAACCAUUGUUAAACAUAAUUGAGUUCAAUUCAAAAACAUGAUGCAUCAAGAUUUUUUCUCCGUAGGAUGAAGACGACUACACAAAUCUCCAGCAUCCAGCAAGUGAUCUCUACCAAUCUAUAUCAUAUUCAGCCUGGAAUAAACCGACUGUCCACUUAGAUAACCAGGACAUGGACGGAGGAGAGUCUGAUAUAAGCUGCACAGAUUAUGAAAACAUUUCAACCAAAGAAUCAAAAUAAAAUUACUGUAACUUGUGGAUGUUCGUGACUCAUUGAGACGAUAGAUCGCUGAUUAUAGCUGGCCUUCAGUUUGUGAGAAAACCCAAAUAAUACAAUUUGUAUUUGCUUUUUACGUACGCAACAAGAUAGUUUCAUUAUACUGAGGGGUUCAAUAACUGUCUUACUGGUCCUGUACAGCAGGAGGAUAUAAAAUCCCCCUUAGCCAGAGAACAGGUUACUGCGUAGAUGGUAUAUUUGGCAAUAACUGUGGUGUCUGCAAAAAGACUGUGUUACUUUUCAGCUACAGCUCUACGUCAGGCCUCUAAACCUGUCUGUGAUGACCACCAAAGCAACAUGUCAGUUUCAGCACGGUUUGUGAUGUUUGACUCUUACUGGUCAUAUACGUAUAUUGUGAGCAGCGUAGACAGUAGGUGAUGUUGGUUGGACUUUUGGCAGUUUGAUGACCCGUCCCACUCUGUUUGCGUUUGCCUGUGUUCUCAUCUGUUCCUGUAUUAAGUGGCAGGUGAACGAGGCACACCUGAAGUCAUUUCCUCUGAUUGCCUCACCUGCUGUAAGAGUGCUGAUAUCUCCCUCUUCCUCUCUGUCUCCUGUGCUCCCAACCAGCAGAGUUUUGGUUGUGAUCAUUUAGAUUCGGUCUACUUUGGUUAUAUUUGAUUUAAUAAAAUAUUAUUUUAAAUGUUUACCUUUGUGUGGUCUCCCUGUUUUGUUGAAACCAUCUGAGCCAGGUUGUCACAGUGGAUCUAGCUAAAACUGUCAGUAGAUCAGGGCCCAUUUUCCUAAAGAUUCUGAGAAUCCUCUCAGAGAGCUUCUGACUUAACCUAAAAAUUCCUAGCAAGGAGUCUUAGCUUAGGAGUGAUUCCAGAACAUUCUCAGAGACCUCUGAGCAAGGAAUGGAC
rnacentral:lncRNA from 1 species